rnacentral:rRNA from 1 species
UGCUUGACACAUGCUAAUCGAACGUCUAAUUUCAUUAGAAUUAAUUUAGUUAGAAGUGGUGUACAGGUGAGUAAAUGAUAUUAUGGCUACCUUGGAGUAAGGGACAUUAAAAUCCCUUAUAUUAUACAAAAAAAUUGGUAUUAAAGAAAUUUAUUUUCGCUUCAAGAUGGAAAUUAAUGUCUCGGGCAGGUAGUAGUUAAGGUAAUGGCUUAACUAGCUUAUGUCCGUAGUCGAGACUGAGAGGUCGAUCGAUCACAUUGGGUCUGAAAAAACCCCAAUACGUAUAGUACAGCAGUGAGGAAUAUUGGUCAAUGGCCUAACGGCUGAACCAGCAACUUGGGGGAAUGGAUAUAUAUAUUAGAGAUAAUAUAUAGUACCGACUCUGUCGGCUAAAGUUCUAGAUAGAAUAAUGAUAAUGACAAUUUUCUAUCUAUAUGUCUUGACCAAAUCUUGUGCCAGCAGUCGCGGCAACACAAGGGAGACUAGUGUUAUUCAUCUUUAUUAGGUUUAAAGGGUACCUAGACGGUAUAUCAAGCCCCAAAAGGGAACGGAUAUACUAGAGUUUUAUGUGAGAGGCAAAUAUAGUACUAUUGGUGUAGAGAUAAAAUUCAUUGAUACCUCUAGGCACGGGUAACGGCGAAGGCAAUCCUCUAUGUAAAAACUGACGUUGAGGGACGAAGGCUCGGGUAGCGAAUAGGAUUAGAUACCCUAGUAGUCCGGGCAGACAAUUAUGAAUGUCAUAGAUUAGAAAACAAAGAAGCUAGUAGGUUUGCUAUGAACAGACUGUAUAAUUUAAGAGUCUGUUAUUAAAUUAUACAGUCUCUACUGUAACUAGUUUAGAUAUUAACUCUUAGACUUCCUUAAACGAGAGUCUCUCAUUUUCCUUCGACUUCUCAUUAAAGGGGAGAGGCUCCCGAGAAGCAAAGCAGAUGGGUGUAGAAUGGGAGUUUAAGGAAGGUUUAUUUGCCUCUUGGAUUAUUCAACUUGUGUAUUAAAAAGGAUACGGGUAAAGGUUUGCUUCUUCACCUUCCUAUUUUUGGUCUAUAAAUGAAAGUGUAAGCAUUCCACCUCAAGAGUAAGGCGGCAACGUUGGAACUGAAAUCAUAGACCG